rnacentral:lncRNA from 1 species
AUGUUACAGCCUAUUCUUUAUACUACAGCCCACUGUUACAGCCUAUUCUUUAUACUACAGCCCACUGUUACAGCCUAUUCUUUAUACUACAGCCCACUGUUACAGCCUAUUCUUUAUACUACAGCCCACUGUUACAGCCUAUUCUUUAUACUACAGCCCACUGUUACAGCCUAUUCUUUGUUACAGCCCACUGUUACAGCCUAUUCUUUAUACUACAGCCCACUGUUACAGCCUAUUCUUUAUACUACAGCCCACUGUUACAGCCUAUUCUUUAUGUUACAGCCUAUUCUUUAUACUACAGCCUAUUCUUUAUGUUACAGCCCACUGUUACAGCCUAUUCUUUAUACUACAGCCCACUGUUACAGCCUAUUCUUUAUACUACAGCCUACUGUUACAGCCUAUUCUUUAUGUUACAGCCCACUGUUACAGCCUAUUCUUUAUACUACAGCCCACUGUUACAGCCUAUUCUUUAUACUACAGCCCACUGUUACAGCCUAUUCUUUAUACUACAGCCCACUGUUACAGCCUAUUCUUUAUACUACAGCCCACUGUUACAGCCUAUUCUUUAUACUACAGCCCACUGUUACAGCCUAUUCUUUAUACUACAGCCCACUGUUACAGCCUAUUCUUUAUGUUACAGCCCACUGUUACAGCCUAUUCUUUAUACUACAGCCCACUGUUACAGCCUAUUCUUUAUACUACAGCCCACUGUUACAGCCUAUUCUUUAUACUACAGCCCACUGUUACAGCCUAUUCUUUAUACUACAGCCCACUGUUACAGCCUAUUCUUUAUGUUACAGCCCACUGUUACAGCCUAUUCUUUAUACUACAGCCCACUGUUACAGCCUAUUCUUUAUACUACAGCCCACUGUUACAGCCUAUUCUUUAUACUACAGCCCACUGUUACAGCCUAUUCUUUAUACUACAGCCCACUGUUACAGCCUAUUCUUUAUACUACAGCCCACUGUUACAGCCUAUUCUUUAUGUUACAGCCUAUUCUUUAUACUACAGCCCACUGUUACAGCCUAUUCUUUAUACUACAGCCUAUUCUUUAUACUACAGCCCACUGUUACAGCCUAUUCUUUAUACUACAGCCCACUGUUACAGCCUAUUCUUUAUACUACAGCCCACUGUUACAGCCUAUUCUUUAUACUACAGCCCACUGUUACAGCCUAUUCUUUAUGUUACAGCCUAUUCUUUAUACUACAGCCCACUGUUACAGCCUAUUCUUUAUACUACAGCCUAUUCUUUAUACUACAGCCCACUGUUACAGCCUAUUCUUUAUACUACAGCCCAAUGUUACAGCCUAUUCUUUAUGUUACAGCCCACUGUUACAGCCUAUUCUUUAUACUACAGCCCACUGUUACAGCCUAUUCUUUAUACUACAGCCUAUUCUUUAUGUUACAGCCUAUUCUUUAUACUACAGCCCACUGUUUUAUUUUUUAUUUUUUAUUUUACCUUUAUUUAACUAGGCAAGAUCAGUUAAGAACAAAUUCUUAUUUUCAAUGA